rnacentral:misc_RNA from 1 species
GUAACAAGGUUUCCGUAGGUGAACCUGCGGAAGGAUCAUUAAAGAUUAUGAAUGAAUAGAUUACUGGGGGAAUCGUCUGAACAAGGCCUGCGCUUAAUUGCGCGGCCAGUUCUUGAUUCUCUGCUAUCAGUUUUCUAUUUCUCAUCCUAAACACAAUGGAGUUUUUUCUCUAUGAACUACUUCCCUGGAGAGCUCGUCUCUCCAGUGGACAUAAACACAAACAAUAUUUUGUAUUAUGAAAAACUAUUAUACUAUAAAAUUUAAUAUUCAAAACUUUCAACAACGGAUCUCUUGGUUCUCGCAUCGAUGAAGAACGCAGCGAAUUGCGAUAUGUAUUGUGAAUUGCAGAUUUUCGUGAAUCAUCAAAUCUUUGAACGCACAUUGCGCCCUCUGGUAUUCCAGGGGGCAUGCCUGUUUGAGCGUCAUUUCUCUCUCAAACCUUUGGGUUUGGUAGUGAGUGAUACUCGUCUCGGGUUAACUUGAAAGUGGCUAGCCGUUGCCAUCUGCGUGAGCAGGGCUGCGUGUCAAGUCUAUGGACUCGACUCUUGCACAUCUACGUCUUAGGUUUGCGCCAAUUCGUGGUAAGCUUGGGUCAUAGAGACUCAUAGGUGUUAUAAAGACUCGCUGGUGUUUGUCUCCUUGAGGCAUACGGCUUUAACCAAAACUCUCAAAGUUUGACCUCAAAUCAGGUAGGAGUACCCGCUGAACUUAAGCAUAUCAAUAA